rnacentral:rRNA from 1 species
AGCGAACGCUGGCGGCAGGCUUAACACAUGCAAGUCGAGCGGGCACUUUCGGGUGUCAGCGGCGGACGGGUGAGUAACGCGUGGGAACGUGCCCUCUGGUUCGGAAUAACUCAGGGAAAAUUGAGCUAAUACCGGAUACGCCCUUUUGGGGAAAGGCUUGCUGCCGGAGGAUCGGCCCGCGUCUGAUUAGCUAGUUGGUGAGGUAACGGCUCACCAAGGCGACGAUCAGUAGCUGGUCUGAGAGGAUGAUCAGCCACACUGGGACUGAGACACGGCCCAGACUCCUACGGGAGGCAGCAGUGGGGAAUAUUGGACAAUGGGCGCAAGCCUGAUCCAGCCAUGCCGCGUGAGUGAUGAAGGCCUUAGGGUUGUAAAGCUCUUUUAUCCGGGACGAUAAUGACGGUACCGGAGGAAUAAGCCCCGGCUAACUUCGUG